UGCGUAGUCGGAUUAAUAAGUCAGUGGUGAAAUCUCUCGGCUCAACCGGGAAACUGCCAUUGAUACUGUUAGUCUUGAGUUCGGUUGAGGUAGGCGGAAUGUGUAAUGUAGCGGUGAAAUGCUUAGAUAUUACACAGAACACCAAUUGCGUAGGCAGCUUACUAGACCGACACUGACGCUGAGGCACGAAAGCGUGGGUAGCGAACAGGAUUAGAUACCCUGGUAGUCC
rnacentral:rRNA from 1 species